GUAAAAUGUGGCUCAUAAUGCCCUACCCACUUGAGUGGGUUGAUGGAGUAAAUGGUAAAGAUGAAUGUGAAGGCCCCUUGUAAACUUUAAAUGGCUUUUCAUAAAGGGCAGAGCCAAGCUUGACCAGUGGAGCCUCUGAUUUCAGGAGCAGCUUCUCAAAGGCAAGAAAAUAAGUUUGGAGAGAACAUAAUGCUUUGAGCGAGACACUACGAGGGAGUAAGAUGAAAGCCAUCAUUUGGUGGAGUCAGCUGAAGAGCCCAGCCCAGAAGUUGCUCUCUCUCUGAAGGGCAGAGUCCAAUUUUGUCCCACCGAACGUGGGGCUAGCCUUAUCCUCCAGUCUGUGAGGCUGUUGCAGAUCA
rnacentral:lncRNA from 1 species